rnacentral:rRNA from 1 species
GACAGAGGGUGCAAACGUUGCUCGGAAUUACUGGGCGUAAAGCGUGCGCAGGCGGUUUUGUAAGCCAGAUGUGAAAGCCCCGGGCUUAACCUGGGAAUGGCAUUUGGGACUGCAAGGCUUGAGUGCGGCAGAGGAGACUGGAAUUCCUGGUGUAGCAGUGAAAUGCGUAGAGAUCAUGAGGAAGACCAGUGGCGAAGGCGGGUCUCUGGACAGUUCCUGACACUGAGACACGAAGGCCAGGGGAGCAAACGGG